CCCUUAGAUGUUCUGGGCUGCACGCGCGCUACACUGACACACCCAGCGAGUCUCCUGCCCUGACAGGGUUGGGUAAUCAUUGGAGUGUGUGUCGUGAUGGGGAUGGAGUAUUGCAAUUAUUGCUCUCGAACGAGGAAUUCCUAGUAAGCACAAGUCAGCAGCUUGUGCUGAUUACGUCCCUGCCCUUUGUACACACCGCCCGUCGCUCCUACCGAGGGGGUGAUCCGGUGAAUGAUUCGGACUUUGGCGUUUCUAGCUGCUAGCAGCGCUGAAGAAAGUUUUGUGAACCUUAUCACUUGGAGGAAGGAGAAGUCGUAACA
rnacentral:rRNA from 1 species